rnacentral:rRNA from 1 species
GUGCGCCGCCCGGUAAUACCGGCAGCCCGAGUGAUGGCCGAUAUUAUUGGGCCUAAAGCGUCCGUAGCUGGCCAGACAAGUCCGUUGGGAAAUCCACGCGCUCAACGCGUGGGCGUCCAGCGGAAACUGCCUGGCUUGGGGCCGGAGGACUCGAGGGGUACGUCCGGGGUAGGAGUGAAAUCCCAUAAUCCCGCACGGACCACCGAUGGCGAAAGCACUUCGAGAAAACGGAACCGACAGUGAGGGACGAAAGCCAGGGUCUCCAACCGGAUUAGAAACCCGUGUAGUCC